rnacentral:misc_RNA from 1 species
CAACGAAAAAAUAAUAAUUAUAAUUAUAAAAAUUAUCGAUUUCUCUGCGGUGCUUUCCAUCUGCUAGAAUAGUAGUAAACGAGGUAACUCAGGUGAUGCUUCCACCCCUUCAAUAGAUGGCACUUCUUCAUGUAAUAAACUGUAUUAAUAAUGAAAGCUUUGAAGAGAAAGUAUCUCAUCUGAUAACGUUAUGGAAGUGUUUAGCCAAAUUUUCCAAUUAUUUACAAGAAAUUUCAGAACUGUAUCAGUUUGUCCUAAAGGAAAGUUCCUUAGUAAUCCUUUCAAGUCAGUGGUCCAAAAUAAAUAUAUCUAUGAAAAGAACAAUGGCAAAAAUGUUAAUUUAUGGCAGCCAUAUUCUAGGUCCUCGUAUCAAAGGAAGUGCACGCACGUGUGCUGCUUUAAUAAUGGCUAUUUAUGAUCCUUGGAAUGAACCAAUAUUAAAGAAAGCACUUUCUGACGAUAAUUUUCUUGAGGAGU